UGGUAGCAGAGAGGGCAUUAAUAUUGCAAAAUUCCUGUAAAGGACUGUUGUACUCUGGUACAGUAACAGAAUCAAGUGCUUAAAACUAUCAUGCUUUUGGAGAAAAUGCUUGCAGUACUGAAUGGAUCUAUUACAUGUGCUGGGCAUGCAUAACGUGUGCCUUUAUAGCAGUACUCAAAAUUAUUAUUUAUAAUAUUCUAUGAGAGUAAUUAAUACUACAGCAUAUGCAUUUACUAAAAGCUGUAAUAUAGCACAGCAUCUGUAAAACGUCUGGUCUGUUAAAUCUUGCAUCAUACUCUUCUUAAAAUAUUUAAUGGCCAGACUCUGUUUUAUAUGCAGUAGAGUUAAGCUAAGUCUGCUGAAGAAGUUGAACAUUUGCAUUUUUUAGAGUUUGGUUCUUUUUUUUAAUCUAUGCAAAAAUAAGAAAUGGGGAAGUUUGUGUUGAGUUUUCAGAAAAGAAGGCUGGUGCAUUGAGAACAGCUGUGAGACACCAGGAGAAUUGUAGAAACAAUGAAGGUGACUGGAUGCAGAGGCUAUAGAUGGCAUCUUCUCCUUGAUACCUGACAAAAGUAACUUAUGCAAUAAGUUAUUGCUCCAUAGUGAUAGAAUCUUCAGAAGAGAAAAUACAAGAACUAUAAAUGCAUCUGGAGACCAGGUAAGAAUGUAAAGAAAUGGUGAUUAGAGAGGAAACAUGGCAUGCACAGAAUAAAGAUUUACAAAUAUCUGCUAAAUGAGAAGAGAAGAAUGAAUGAAAAUGAAUGAAUGAGAAGAAUGAAAGUUUCCAACUAUGAGGAUAAAGAGAAGAACUGACCAGUGAGGUUGAAAUGGAGUUGAAGAACAAGCUUGCUGUCCUGGAACGUGAUGGGGGAAAAAAAUCACAUCUAGUGAGUAAGGUUAUAGCAAAGAAGAAAGUAGCAGCUAGCCCCCAAAAGAAGAGGAGAAGAGUACAGAGAGAUCUCUCCAUGGGCUGAGGGCAACAUUGCAGAUGACUGUAAAGGAAAGCAGAAGGCAGUAUGAUACGCAGUUAAAAGUAGACAGGAAGCUCAUUCCAGCUUAAAGAAGUCACCAAGACUAGCCAGUGACUCAGGAGUCUUUAUAAAUUGAUGGUGUGUCACCAGAGCAAAUCCAAAUAAUAGAUCUGUGGUCCUCUACAGGAGGAAGAGUACUGUGGUUCUCAAGUUUUCAAAUGAGAUACUGGUGAUAGUAUCCUGUAGACUUCUAAGGGCAGAUUCGGGUAUUGACAGGCAAAGGACACCAAUAUAGAUAGUACUGAGAGUUGACACUGUGGAAGCCUUGUAUGUUGUUGAUGGUAGGCUCAAGUUACACUUGAAUGCAAUAACUUUUUUGCCCCCACAAAAUAUUAGUUGAACAUACAAGAAGAGGUAUUUUAGAUUUGGUUUGAUGAUAAAUAAAAUGAUAGUGCUGGUUAAUUAAAAUGGUAGCAGAAUCAAAAAAGUCUCUUAAGGUCUUUGUUAGGAUGCAACUGGUCAGUCACGCUGGUUUCACAUGCACGAGCACUGAAAGCUAGACCGUGUACCUUGGUGAUACCUAUAGCAGCAAACUCAUCCCACGGAUAUUUGGAGUGUUUCAUACAUGGCUAUGUAAAGCAUAAUGCAUGCUUUGCUCUCCCCAAUUCCUUCCAGCUGUUUAUUGAAUUGCAGUCAAAUUCUACUAUCCUUGUUUGAUUUGAACUGCUUAAUAAAUGAUCUUGGUUCCUUAUUUAACUUCCAAGCACUUUCAGGUGAUCAUCUAGGGCUUCCACCCACACUUUUGAGCUUUUGGAGCACUAUUUCCUGAUGUGUAUUUUGUUUAUUCCUUCCAGCUCGCUGACUGAUGCUGUACUUCAAACAGACAUAGUCACUGGCUAAUGCUUGUGUGAGGACAAGUGUUCCAUGGACACUGGAUACAAAACACAUGCUGAGAAAGAUCUGGGAAUACUUGAUAUUUAAACUAGUAAAACUUUCCUUCCAAACUGACUCCUGGUCAUUGGCUACAGACUAACCCAUCACCUCUGGAAAAAGAAAAGGAUAGCUUCUGAAAAGGAAUCCACUCGAGUCUCUCAGUCUUAACGAUUAUGUUGGUGAAACUCCUAUUCAUAAAGCAGCACGGUCUGGUAGUAUGGAUUCCAUAAGUGCCCUUGUGGCUCAUGGUGCGCAAAUAGACUACGUAAUUCGAAUUGACUUGAUUUUUUCAAGUAAUCCUAGAAAGGGGGAGCAUUCCAUAUAGAAACUGCUGAAACUGCCACAGGUGCUUCUCCGAAAACCUUACAGUUGUGGCAUUGAAUGUUCAGUAUCGCUUCCUUUCUGCACACAAGGCAUACUGUUGAGCUUGAGAAAUGCCAGUGGCCUGACAGCAGCAGACCUUGCACAUACCCAGGGCUUCCAAGAAUGUGCCCAGUUUCUCUUGAACCUCCAGAACUGUCACCUGAAUCGUUUCUAUAGCAAUGGCACCUUAAAUGGGGUUCAUCAGAAUGCAGGUCCCAAUCCAUUCAGUGGUGGGACAAGUCGAAAGAGAUCCUUUGAAGAUACAGAGUCUGCUGGAGUAAAGAAGGCUAGAACGGAAGCUUACAGCUUUGAUGGCUUAAUACCAAUGAUGAAUGGAGGAGUUGAGGACGAUGCUGACAAUAUGCACGUUGAUAGAGAGUUUGCUGUUGUAUCAGAUAUGAAUAGCAGUAGCUCCAUACUGAAUGCACUGACAAAUGGAUGUGCCAUCAAUGGACAUUUGGAUUUCACCGCCGCACAACAGCUCAGCGGGAUGGAUGCCAGGCGCGAGGAGUGUUUGUCAUUAACACCUAACGGAAUAAUUCCUGGAAUAACUUCUCCCAGUAGGCAUCGAAUUCAUACCAGUAACGGCACCGAGGAACCAGAAAAGGCCAUGAAUAAUUCCACCGAUAUGUGUGGAUCUCUACAUCUGAACGGAAGCCCGAGCAGCUGUGUUUCUAGCCGGCCCUCGUGGGUGGAAGACCCUGGAGAUACCUUGCACUAUGGACACUAUCAUGGGUUUGGGGAUACCGCUGAAAGCAUCCCCGAACUUAGUAGCGUUGUUGAGCAUUCCAAUUCUGUCACGGUUGAACAGAGAUACGACAAUACUGUCCUAGGCAC